rnacentral:lncRNA from 12 species
GCUGGAUGGGCUUUAAGGUCCUUUUCCAGCCAACCACUCUGUAAUUCUGUGAUUCAUCCUUUUAUUUGCUGAUAUCAAGGGCUUGCAACCUUUACAAAUGGGUAGCAAGGAGAGUCUUGGCAAAAAAAAUAGAGGAAAGUCAGGACAUAGCUGGAAAAGCUGGCAGUACCUUGUGGAAUCCUAAUCUCUGCUUGCCUGCAAGUGGAACAUGUGGCACCACAAACCAGCCCCUGAGGCUGUGUCAAGCAGAGCUGUCAGAUUUCCAGCACCAGUGACAUCCCUGCGAUCACUGGAGCCACAAUCAGUUCAUGUCUUGGUGUGUCCAGCACUGAGCAAGAUGUGAAAUUUGCCUUCGCCCUUCGGUUCUCUCCUGUCAAGUCACUGCAUGAGCCCACGGGAUGUCAAGAGAUAAU